CCUACCCAGGCUGGGCUGAUCUCAGACCCUCCUGCACAGCCCCCCCAGGGUGUCCCUGUCCCUGGGGAUUGGGGACACUCGAGGACAAGUGGCCACAGCACAGAGGAGCAUCCAGGGGGCUUUUCCCUGCACCCACCAAGCCCCGGGCCCAGGCAGGAAGAGCCAGUGGGAGCUGAUGGAUGUGACAUGGAUGACCUGGAUGGGCUCCUGGGAGAGCUGCCUGAGGAUUUCUUCUCAGCCCCAGCCCAGGCUGACUGUGGCUGACCCCAGGAGCUGCUGGCACAGGCUGGGCCGUGCCAUGGCCUGGUGAGGAUGAUGAUGAUGCCAAGGAGCAGGUGGCACACCUGCCACCUCUGCAUGCUCCUGUCUCUGUGUGUCCUCUGUGUUUGUUGUGGAGCCAAGAGCUGGGGGGGCUCCAGGGGGGCCCUGGGGGGACACAGCCUGAGUGCUGUCCCCACUCCUCCAGGCACAACUUCCCCUCACUCCCAAACCUGCAUUAAAGGGCUGUUCUGUCCCUGC